rnacentral:rRNA from 1 species
UCAGUCACGAUAAGAAUAUCUGCAUAAAUAGUAGAGCUAAUACGCGAUUUUGAACUGGACAAUGUGGAGGGGUUGCCCUUAUUAAAUAUAGAACUAGUCUGCUUCAAAAAAAACAAGGUAAUUCAUAAUUUUCAAGUGAGUCGCUUCAAACGAUGAAGUAUAUAAGUUUCUCACCUAUCAGUUUUCGAUGGUAAGGUAGUGGCUCGCCAUGACUGCAACGGGUAGCGGAGAGUUAGGGUUCGAUUCCGGAGAGGGCGCUUGAGAAAUGGCUACCACAUCUAAGGAAGGCAGCAGGCGCGCAAAUUACCCAAUCCCUAAUCAAGGAGGUAGUGACAAGAAGUAAUGAUAUAUAACAUAUAUGUUCUGUAAUCGGAAUGUGAGGAAGUUAAACCUAUUUUCUAGUAUCGAUUAGG